AACGGGGGAUCCGUUAAACGGAAGAGGAGGGAACGAUAAAAAAAAAACCCAGCCUCAGCCAAUCAAAAACUGUUAGGAGACAGGCGCGAGACUCUGACACAGCGCAGCCAGGUAUCGUGCUACAGGUGGCUAACGGUCUUUGGAGUUACAUCAGACCAAGAGUGACUGUGACUAGUGACUAGCUGUUCAGAAUGUCAUUGUAAGAAGGUUGAAACCUAAACCUAAGUAACCUGAGCACGGUUUAGAUGAAGAGAUGUCUUCAAUCAGUUCAACCAAGCUGCAGCUCUUCCAGUCCCAAAGAAGCAGAUGACCUACACCCAGAAAGGCUUCAAGAAGAAGAGAUGUCUUCAGCCAGCUCAGCUGAUCAGCAGCUCGUCCUGCCCCAAAGCGGGUCAGAAGCAGAUGACGUACACCCAGAGGGUGAAGAGGAAGAGAUGUCUUCGCCACUUCAGUCGAUCAGCAGCUCGUCCAGCUCAAAG